rnacentral:misc_RNA from 1 species
AAGUCGUAACAAGGUUUCCGUAGGUGAACCUGCGGAAGGAUCAUUAACACGUAUCCAACGUUAAACAACCCUGUGCACCUUCAUUCCUGCUCUCCUUGCCCGCUGAGAAAGCAAUCCCUGGUAAAUCACGCAAACAGUUUGAUUCAGGGACCUCUUUUGAUGCGGCCAUGCGAUUCGAUGCGGAGUCGUAAUUAGACUUGGUUUCUCGAAGCUCAUCAACGAGUAAAAUCGUUGAUGGGCGAUAAAGGAUAACUGCUGAGCAGAUCACUGAUCCUCACGAUCAGUGGACAAGUCUCUGGG